rnacentral:rRNA from 1 species
UACGAAGGGAGCUAGCGUUGUUCGGAAUCACUGGGCGUAAAGCGCACGUAGGCGGAUUUGCCAGUCAGGGGUGAAAUCCCGGGGCUCAACCUCGGAACUGCCUUUGAUACAGCAAGUCUUGAGUUCGAGAGAGGUGGGUGGAAUUCCUAGUGUAGAGGUGAAAUUCGUAGAUAUUAGGAAGAACACCGGUGGCGAAGGCAGCUCUCUGGGACGGUACUGACGCUGAGACGCGAAAGCGUGGGGAGCGAACAGG